rnacentral:rRNA from 1 species
UACGUAGGGACCAAGCGUUGUUCGGAUUUACUGGGCGUAAAGGGCGCGUAGGCGGCGUGGUAAGUCACUUGUGAAAUCUCCGAGCUAAACUCGGAACGGUCAAGUGAUACUGCUGUGCUAGAGUGCAGAAGGGGCAAUCGGAAUUCUUGGUGUAGCGGUGAAAUGCGUAGAUAUCAAGAGGAACACCUGAGGUGAAGACGGGUUGCUGGGCUGACACUGACGCUGAGGCGCGAAAGCUAGGGUAGCAAACGGG